rnacentral:lncRNA from 1 species
AAGCCAUGUGGCAUCGGCCACGCUCAGGUGCUCGGAGGAAGGGAGCUCUAGGAAGCCCUCUUCAUCCACAAUGAUGGUGUAGUCCUCGGGGGUUUCCGUGAGGCUGAAGAACUUGCACCUCGUCUUGGAGGACAGGAAAGCAAGUUUGAUUAAUCCAUAGGUAAACAACUGGAUGCUCUCCUUGGCUAUGCUGGCCACUCUGAGCCUGUGCUCUAGGAUGUGCAGUUCCAUCUUUUCCUCUUUCUCAUUUGUAGUUCAUCUAUCCCCGGGGUUUAUUUUGUGUUUUUGAAUGGGGAGGGGGAGGGGGGGCUGUUAUUGUCGCUGCCUCGGUGGUGGUGGUGGUGGUGGUUGUGUUGGUUGUUUUUUUUUUCUUCUUCCCCCCCCCCUUCCUUUUUUUUCUUUUUUUUUUUUU